rnacentral:tRNA from 1 species
UCUAGCUCAGUUGGUUAGAGCACUCGGCUCAUAACCGAAUGGUCGUAGGUUCGAGUCCUACGA